GACGAACGCUGGCGGCGUGCCUAAUACAUGCAAGUAGAACGCUGAAGAGAGGAGCUUGCUCUUCUUGGAUGAGUUGCGAACGGGUGAGUAACGCGUAGGCAACCUGCCUUGUAGCGGGGGAUAACUAUUGGAAACGAUAGCUAAUACCGCAUAACAAUGGAUGACACAUGUCAUUUAUUUGAAAGGUGCAAUUGCUCCACUACAAGAUGGACCUGCGUUGUAUUAGCUAGUAGGUGAGGUAAUGGCUCACCUAGGCGACGAUACAUAGCCGACCUGAGAGGGUGAUCGGCCACACUGGGACUGAGACACGGCCCAGAAUCCUACGGGAGGCAGCAGUAGGGAAUCUUCGGCAAUGGGGGCAAACCUGACCGAGCAACGCCGCGUGAGUGAAGAAGGUUUUCGGAUCGUAAAGCUCUGUUGUAAGUCAAGAACGGGUGUGAGAGUGGAAAGUUCACACUGUGACGGUAGCUUACCAGAAAGAGACGGCUAACUACGUG
rnacentral:rRNA from 1 species